AUUGAACGCUGGCGGAAUGCUUUACACAUGCAAGUCGAACGGCAGCACGGACUUCGGUCUAGUGGCGAGUGGCGAACGGGUGAGUAAUGUAUCGGAACGUGCCCAGUCGUGGGGGAUAACGUAGUGAAAAUUACGCUAAUACCGCAUACGAUCUAUGGAUGAAAGCGGGGGAUCGCAAGACCUCGCGCGAUUGGAGCGGCCGAUAUCAGAUUAGGUAGUUGGUGGGGUAAAGGCCCACCAAGCCAACGAUCUGGAGUUGGUCUGAGGGGACGAACAGGCACACUGGAACUGAGACACGGGCCAGACUCCUACGGGAGGCAGCAGUGGGGAAAUUUGGACAAUGGGCGAAAGCCUGAUCCAGCCAUUCCGCGUGCAGGAUGAAGGCCCUCGGGUUGUAAACUGCUUUUGUACAGAACGAAAAGGUUUCUACUAAUACUAGGAGCUCAUGACGGUACUGUAAGAAUAAGCACCGGCUAACUACGUGCCAGCCGCCGCCGUAA
rnacentral:rRNA from 1 species